CCAGGCUGGCCCACUCUGUUCC
rnacentral:miRNA from 1 species